UGCGAACAGUCUACUCUAACGCAGUAAUGCCGACCAGUUCCAACCGGGUGCCGCCAAAUCGAACCCUGGUUCGAAUUCCGCACGGCCGUGACCGCGGAAAGAAACAAAAGAAGGAGGAGGAAGAGGAGGAGGAGAAAGAAGAAGGGGACGAGGAGGAGGACAGGAAGAAGAGAAGAAGAUAACGAUAACGAAGAAGACAACGACAACGACGACGACGACGAACACGAAGAGGAAGGUGAAUAAAAAGAAGUCACGAAGGUGGAAGAGGAAGAAGAAGAAAAAGGAAAUAGCAGUGCACGUAUGCCCAUUAGGAGGACAAACAAAACGGAGAUUUUAGCUCCAUUUCAAACAGUACGAAGAUGUAAACAAUAAGGCAACAACAGGAUCGAGGAUACACUUGCUUUACUACAUCAUCCUCUUUGAUGCCAUUCUUUAAACUUUGAAUGUCGUAAGAAGAGCGGGCAAGAAUGAGAGAGAAACAGAGGAAACGCUGAGAGAGCAACAUCGCGAAAAAAAAGUGUCUUUCAAAGCGGAUACUUGCUCCCUCCUACACAUAAGAGCAGAAUGUUUUUGCCAUUCCGCGCAUUUACUCGAACACGAGUAUCGGAUACUUCGCGUUCUACGAUACAAGAAGCAAUCCUCUAAGCGAAGCUGUCGAGAAGGUUUUAAAUCACGUACAAUAUCCUGCAAAACUUCCUUCACUCAAGUAUCCUUCAUGAUUUCUUUCGCGACCAAAA